UAUUAUUGGCAGACAAAGAUGCGAAAAGAACGGAGUCGGUAAUAGCAAGAGUCUUCUUCUCUUACGUACACCUGUUGUCAAACAGAAACAGGGCGUUCGCUCGGUUUUCUAGGAGAUCAAAAAUGGAUACGUAAUUUUCCGAUCUUCAUCCGGCGAAGUGAACUGUCGUCUCCGUUUUUUCAUCAAAUGUCAAAGCCCCAAUGUAACCUCCAAGCUCAAGAUUUUGGUUUGGUCUCUCUGGACAACCAGCAAUUAUCGGUGAACUAGUCAUUUCCAGUCUUCUGCCUUUUUGAAGUUGCGACGAAGAUGAAGAAAUGAACAAAGGAAUAAGGAUCGGCUGGAUCCAGGAAGCAUUUAUUGGAUUUACUUUCCAAUGGGCGGUUGCUUGGUCUAAGUGAAGCAUGAAGGUAACAUCAUCUAUAUACAUAUAUGCAUUUGAAAAACUUCAUCUUGUGUUUACAUAUCAAAUGAGUUGCUCCUAGUGUGUGUGAUUUUAUCUAAAAGGGGGGUUUUGAAUAUAUUUUUUUGGGGAAAAAAAAAUUUGGACCAUUUCUCGAUUUGUGCGUGUCAUCCUUGCGCAGGGGCCAUGCUAAUCUUCUCUGUAUCGUUCCAAUUUUAUCGGAUGUCCCCGAAGGGACAACUACAUGACUUUGAACUGUGUUAUAUGAAUCGCUUAGGGUAACUGACAUUAGCCUAUGUGGGACAUUUGUUCAAUAUCUAAGGAAAGUUGUCCUGGGGGACCUUUCCAGAAUUCCGAAAGUCACUUCUACACGGUCUCGAGUCCAACUUUCGGAAUCACCAAUUAUAAGUUAUAUGUAGUGCACAAAUGGGUGAAUUGGUGGUAAUUUUUUUGAUCAAGUAAUCAUAUUUAUGUGCUGAUAUGUCAUCUCAUCACCUAGUCUUGCUAUUACAUAAUUUUGGAAAUCUUUUGUUCAAGUAAUCCUGUCUAUGUACUGAUAUGUCAUACUAACACCUAGUCUUGUUAUUACAAAACUGUACUUCGUUGUCGAAAGGAAAUGCAUCGAAUUUGAAGGUCCCCAAAACAAAAUAAACCUGUGGACUUAGAUUUUGAAAAUUAAUAGAUAGGACAAUGGGCAUGCGACAUCAUAGCUUUGGGGAAUCAACGUACAUAAAUAUUUAUUUGAACAUAGGCUGCAUGUAGGACAAAAAUAUUUGAACUGAACUGUAGGGGAUGAUUCCACUGGAACUUCCCUCCAAAAAUGGUCGUAUGCCACUGUAAGUAGCGAGCACACGGUAUUCUUUAGUAAAAGGCGAAAGAAUAGUUCGCUUUGUGCUCACUACAUGGCUGCGUGAAAUGCUACUGAAGCUUUGUGUCCCUUGAUAUUGCUGUGAGAGGAGCGAGUAUGAUUAUGCUUUUCAAUAUGGGUCUUUUUGGUCCUAUUUUCUGAGCAGGCCUGUUAUCGAGCAUUCUUCACUUUGGUUUUGUUUUCCCUGCAACAUGCCCUGUCUGUAGCUCUGCUUGUGGAGUGCAAAAAUUUAUCCUCCCUCAAGAAUCUAGGCACUCCUAAGACUGAUCUAAAUCCCGAGUAAAUGCCAAGUUCGGUUCAUUCAUACCUUUUAGGACACUCCCCUAGGAACAAACACCAUGUUUGCCAAUUUUCUCUUUAAAAGAUCCAAUAUUCGAGGUUCAUUCAUCCCUUUUAGGACCCUCCCCGGGGAACAAACAUGAUGUUUGCCAUAUUUCUCUUUAAAAGAUCCAAUGUUCGACCCAAUACUGGCACAGUAUCUUAUGCCCUUUCGGAUGUACCAUCAGAUUCUACUCUUCUGCAAACUGGGUCAAGAGUGUGCAUUUCUUCAGCAACUCUUCUGCAUACUCCAGUUGGGGCUCAGAUGUACCCGACUGAUUCUUCCCUUCUGCAAAUUUGGUAACAUCAGGAUUCCACCAUUGAAAUUGGGGCAGGUUCAAAGUAAUUUAAUUUAGCAAAUUAUAUUUGAAUACUUGAUUUGGUGGGGUGUGCCAGGCCCGAGCAGUAGUGCAACACUUGGGCGACACGCGAAGACCCCAAUAGCAAGCUAUUGUGGUGGGACUUCCCCCUUAAAAAAUAAAUUUAAUAUCGUGUGGACCUAUGGCCCACAUAUCAGAUAUUAAACUGAUAAGAACAGAUACUACACUUGAUCUUAGCCAAAAGGCCGAGAAAGGUAUGACUGUUUUCAAUGUGUGAUUCUCCCUUUAAAGCUCAGCUCUUGUACCUCUGCCAAAUUUAUCUCGGGGUGGUACAAGACACUUCAAGAAUAUCAUAGUCCACAGACACUGCUUGCAAGACAGCUUGGGCAAGAUACAUGUUCUAAAAUUAGUUGGAGGAAAACGGGUAUUAGACUUCUAGAGGUUUAUGGUUUGAUGCCAACAACUACUCAAACAACCUCGCGAGUCUGAAAUUUUGAAAUAGAGGAAAGUCGAAUAAAUUAAUAAUAAUGCAAAACGAAUUCGUUAAUAGUUCCUUUUGUGCAAAACUAAUUCGUUGAGAGUAUACUCUAGAGUCAAUAUUGACAGACGAACAUCUUGUAGUUCAACUGUUACCUUGUUCAAGGACACGACUUUUCCUGCUGUUACCCGUGUUAUAUGAGUAGAUAUAGUUAAUAUUAACUACGCGAACAUCUUGUAUGUGAUUCAACUGUUACCUAGUUGUUUAAGGACUCAACUUUGAACUACAAUUUCAGGAGCUGCGCGAACGCAAGCCCCUGUCACAGAUUGUGAUGUAGGCUCCCCCCCCCCCCCCCUCGGGGAGACCUCAGGUGAGCACUCCUCCUAAGUGCAAUGUAGGCCAGUAACCUAAGGCAUGAGCAUUCAUGAUCUACCAUUGACCCCAUCUAGGUAGUAGGGUUUUAGGUAGGCUGUGCGACCCUAUUUAUAACCCGGUGAUGAUGUUUGUUGAUCUGUGCACACGAUGAGGACAACUUUGAUAUGCAGGUGGUGUUACAUGUCCUACGACUCUUCCUACGACACAUGAAUGCGUUUACUUUAUGCGGAAUAAUAAGAUUAAGUUGGAGUCGGAAACUCGUAUUUUGUUAAAUUUUUCAUCCCGUUACUCCAGGCCUUCAUAUUGAAGUUCGGUUUUAUUAAUUUGAACACGAGUGUAUCUAUCUAUGUUUUCGUUUCUUUGCAUGCAUCAUAACUGGUUUUAAUCUUUCAUCUAUUCCGCGCUUCUCUGCUUUGACAUUUGUUCCAAGUCUUUCCUCUUUUUUCUUGUAUCUUUAAUUUUUUCCAUUUUCACUCUUCCAUGUUAUCCCUUGCCACCAAACGGUAUAUAAAGAUGCAAUUUCAUCUUCCAUACGUAAAAUAGAAGGAUGAGGGUUCAAGUCUCGUUGAAAAUUAUGUGUUUGUAAUUGAUUUAGCAUUUUCAAGUUCCAGUCGUUAAGGAUAGGUAUGGCUCAAGCUGUUUCAUAAAUGGCUCUCAUUCUCUCCUUUCACUUGGUCAACAACUUUCAUAUCUCAUAGGAAAAAAGAAGAUCCUUGCUUCAGCCUAGUGCCGGCCCACCUCCAUAUAAAUAGAUUUGAGAUUUUUACCUAAAAACUUUAUUUAAUUUAAUAGUUUGAUUUGAUUAUCCCACUUUAUUUAGAAUUAUUCUGGUUGUCAACUAUUCUCAAGGUAGAGAUUGAUCUAUUACCGCAAAAUAUUAUAAAAGCCUACUUCAAGCCAAUUUUCUUAAGGUCCAGGAUUAAAAGAUUGGCCGUCGGGUGAUUGACCCGACUACAAAAGAUAUUCGAUAAGCUUUAAGCCUAUGAUUGUAACAGAAGAUAUAUUUAAUACUAUUAAAAGAUCAGUUUUAAAAAGUUAAUACUAAAUAAUACAUAUCUUGUACUGUUUUUAGUCCAUCACUAGUUAUCUGAAUAAAAUGUGGAACACAUAUUUUACUUUAUAUAUAAGAUACUGGUGGAAAUUUCACAAUUUUAAAUCUGAGACCUACAGUGUGGCCCACCACCAAGGAAGCCUGAUUCGAUUGUCAUAGCAUGAUAUGGAUUUUCUAUUAUAAUGUCUAUGUCGUAGCCAAAUGUACGGAAAGACAAAAACGUUAUUGCACUGACCUGGCUUUUAAUAGCAUAGCAAGUAUAAAGUAUAAAUGUAAAUAAAUUGUUAAUUUACUUGUUAAUAAUCUGCUAGCUUAUAGCCAUGCAUGAGUUAGUUCUAAUAUAUUUUACGUUAUUAUUUUUGUGAUUUUAAUAUUUGUGUUUUAGUUUAUAUUUACUUUUGCUCAAAGUACGUUUUUGUAUAUGAGGAAGUAUUUGUGUUUUAAUUAGCAUAGGUAUGUAAAGUAAUUAGGCCGGUUAACUAGGUAUUUUUUGAAUAAGUAGGCCUAAAAAUGUGUUUAAAUUUAAAUAGUUAUAUGUGCUACAAUUUAAUAGGCCCGUUACAAUAUGCUCUAGAACUAAGUAGGCCCCGGAGAUGUUUUUAAAUAAGAAAAGAGUUAAAUGUGUUUUAACUAAAAUAAUGCUUGACGGACUGAACAAGACUUAAUGUUUAGGCUUUAGUUAUAUACUAUAAAUAAGGAGAAAUUACUUUUAUUCAUUAAUAAUUAGACAACUUUACGCGAGCUUUAUGUUCAGGCCAUAAUUUAUUCAGUAGGCAAACAUGUUGUGGAUCACACAUAGAAAGAGUGUGUAAUAAGUUUGUCGAAGUGCUGGUGUAGUGGGGCCGAAACAGCAACAAAGGAUUCUCUGCAUCUACAUAUUGCGUGGGGUUCCUAGGAAAUGAAAAAUAUGAUACUCAGGUAUUCGGUCAUGUUACAGUGUUUCGAAACACUUGCCUGUCUUCUGCGUUUUUUCAUCAAAUGUCAAAGCCCCAAUGUAACCUCCAAGCUCAAGAUUUUGGUUUGGUCUCUCUGGACAACCAGCAAUUAUCGGUGAACUAGUCAUUUCCAGUCUUCUGCCUUUCUGAAGUUGCGACGAAGAUGAAGAAAUGAACAAAGGAAUAAGGAUCGGCUGGAUCCAGGAAGCAUUUAUUGGAUUUACUUUCCAAUGGGCGGUUGCUUGGUCUAAGUGAAGCAUGAAGGUAACAUCAUCUAUAUACAUAUAUGCAUUUGAAAAACUUCAUCUUGUGUUUACAUAUCAAAUGAGUUGCUCCUAGUGUGUGUGAUUUUAUCUAAAAGGGGGGUUUUGAAUAUAUUUUUUUGGGGAAAAAAAAAUUUGGACCAUUUCUCGAUUUGUGCGUGUCAUCCUUGCGCAGGGGCCAUGCUAAUCUUCUCUGUAUCGUUCCAAUUUUAUCGGAUGUCCCCGAAGGGACAACCACAUGACUUUGAACUGUGUUAUAUGAAUCGCUUAGGGUAACUGACAUUAGCCUAUGUGGGACAUUUGUUCAAUAUCUAAGGAAAGUUGUCCUGGGGGACCUUUCCAGAAUUCCGAAAGUCACUUCUACACGGUCUCGAGUCCAACUUUCGGAAUCACCAAUUAUAAGUUAUAUGUAGUGCACAAAUGGGUGAAUUGGUGGUAAUUUUUUUGAUCAAGUAAUCAUAUUUAUGUGCUGAUAUGUCAUCUCAUCACCUAGUCUUGCUAUUACAUAAUUUUGGAAAUCUUUUGUUCAAGUAAUCCUGUCUAUGUACUGAUAUGUCAUACUAACACCUAGUCUUGUUAUUACAAAACUGUACUUCGUUGUCGAAAGGAAAUGCAUCGAAUUUGAAGGUCCCCAAAACAAAAUAAACAUGUGGACUUAGAUUUUGAAAAUUAAUAGAUAGGACAAUGGGCAUGCGACAUCAUAGCUUUGGGGAAUCAACGUACAUAAAUAUUUAUUUGAACAUAGGCUGCAUGUAGGACAAAAAUAUUUGAACUGAACUGUAGGGGAUGAUUCCACUGGAACUUCCCUCCAAAAAUGGUCGUAUGCCACUGUAAGUAGCGAGCACACGGUAUUCUUUAGUAAAAGGCGAAAGAAUAGUUCGCUUUGUGCUCACUACAUGGCUGCGUGAAAUGCUACUGAAGCUUUGUGUCCCUUGAUAUUGCUGUGAGAGGAGCGAGUAUGAUUAUGCUUUUCAAUAUGGGUCUUUUUGGUCCUAUUUUCUGAGCAGGCCUGUUAUCGAGCAUUCUUCACUUUGGUUUUGUUUUCCCUGCAACAUGCCCUGUCUGUAGCUCUGCUUGUGGAGUGCAAAAAUUUAUCCUCCCUCAAGAAUCUAGGCACUCCUAAGACUGAUCUAAAUCCCGAGUAAAUGCCAAGUUCGGUUCAUUCAUACCUUUUAGGACACUCCCCUAGGAACAAACACCAUGUUUGCCAAUUUUCUCUUUAAAAGAUCCAAUAUUCGAGGUUCAUUCAUCCCUUUUAGGACCCUCCCCGGGGAACAAACAUGAUGUUUGCCAUAUUUCUCUUUAAAAGAUCCAAUGUUCGACCCAAUACUGGCACAGUAUCUUAUGCCCUUUCGGAUGUACCAUCAGAUUCUACUCUUCUGCAAACUGGGUCAAGAGUGUGCAUUUCUUCAGCCACUCUUCUGCAUACUCCAGUUGGGGCUCAGAUGUACCCGACUGAUUCUUCCCUUCUGCAAAUUUGGUAACAUCAGGAUUCCACCAUUGAAAUUGGGGCAGGUUCAAAGUAAUUUAAUUUAGCAAAUUAUAUUUGAAUACUUGAUUUGGUGGGGUGUGCCAGGCCCGAGCAGUAGUGCAACACUUGGGCGACACGCGAAGACCCCAAUAGCAAGCUAUUGUGGUGGGACUUCCCCCUUAAAAAAUAAAUUUAAUAUCAUGUGGACCUAUGGCCCACAUAUCAGAUAUUAAACUGAUAAGAACAGAUACUACACUUGAUCUUAGCCAAAAGGCCGAGAAAGGUAUGACUGUUUUCAAUGUGUGAUUCUCCCUUUAAAGCUCAGCUCUUGUACCUCUGCCAAAUUUAUCUCGGGGUGGUACAAGACACUUCAAGAAUAUCAUAGUCCACAGACACUGCUUGCAAGACAGCUUGAGCAAGAUACAUGUUCUAAAAUUAGUUGGAGGAAAACGGGUAUUAGACUUCUAGAGGUUUAUGGUUUGAUACCAACUACUCAAACAACCUCGCGAGUCUGAAAUUUUGAAAGAGAAGUUAAUCUAUACUCCUGGCCUAUGGCUCUGUCAGGUGGUGGAAAAUGUAUACUCCUGAUCAGUGUUCUGGAAUUAAUUGCUUUGUAGCUUUGUCUGCAGUUCCGCUAGUUUCAUUCCACUUCAUUUCAGAAAAUGACCUUUAUGCAAUGAACUAUCAUUUGAUUGCUGCUGAUUGUUCACAGAAAGUUGUCAUUCUAGUAGCCCUUUUUAUGUCAAACUUCGAGUAAAGACAGCUGCUUGAGUGGAUGAUCGCUCUGUUUUCUUAUUAAAAUUUAAGCGAUGCUGCAGCGGAACAUGUACUAGUACUGAGUAUGAUAAUUUUACGAGCAAAAAUAGAAACACUGUUACUGGCUUACAGAUCGUUGUAUAUUAUAGUUAAUGCUCUGUGUCACCUAGAUUCUUUUUAUAUUGGGUGCAGAGGUUUUGAGACAUAUUUUAAACCUUGUAUGAUGUAUAGUUUAUUAAAUUUUGGAGAAAUUACUCAAUAUAAUAUGAUAUAUGGCGCUUGAGUAUUGAGACCUUGAAGCUUAGUGAGCUGAUAGAGAGCAGUGUGGAGAGUGGGAGAGAGGAGAGAGGAGAGAAAUGUUUGGGAGAUUAAACACUGGAUUAAAUUUAUUGAAAUAGAGUUAGUAUUCGAGUCCGCAAGGGUUUCAGAUUCACUUCGAACAUCUUUACCAAGCGCAACUUAUUAUUCAACAUAGCAUGUACUCAAAUAUGAUUUGAAAUAUUAAAUUUUAAAGAUGUAUUUGUAGUUGAUUUUGGUUGAUCGGUUGUAAAUUUGGUUGAUAAAUGAUUUCAAAUAUUAAAAUUUUAAAGAUGUAUUUUAGGUUGAUUUUGGUUGA